rnacentral:tRNA from 1 species
GGGGGAUGGCUUAGUGUUGGGGCAUCUGCUUGGUAUGCAGAAAGGUCAAGGUUCAAUUCCUUCUUCCAGUU